rnacentral:tRNA from 1 species
AGCUCAGCUGGUUAGAGCACGGCACUCAUAAUGCCGGGGUCGGUGGUUCAAGUCCACCC